rnacentral:rRNA from 1 species
AUCUCUUAAAGCCAAUCUCAGUUCGGAUUGUGGCUGCAACUCGCCUACAUGAAGUCGGAUCGCUAGUAUCGCGGAUCACACGCCGCGGUGAAUCGUUCCCGGGCCUUGUCACACCGCCCGUCACACCACGAGUUUGUAACACCCGAAGUCGGUGAGGUAACCUUUUAGGAGCCAGCCGACCUAAGCGUGGGAUAGAUGAUUGGGGU